CCGCAUUGAAACACCGAUUCCAGUACGAUCACUGAAGUUAAGCAAUGCCGAGCCUGGUCAGUAACUAAAUGGGUGACUGCUUGGGAAUACCAGGUGCUGUAAG